rnacentral:rRNA from 1 species
AUUGAACGCUGGCGGCAUGCCUUACACAUGCAAGUCGAACGGUAACAGGUUAAGCUGACGAGUGGCGAACGGGUGAGUAAUGUAUCGGAACGUGCCCAGUCGUGGGGGAUAACUGCUCGAAAGAGCAGCUAAUACCGCAUACGACCUGAGGGUGAAAGCGGGGGCUCGCAAGUCCUCGCGCGAUUGGAGCGGCCGAUAUCCGAUUAGGUAGUUGGUGAGGUAAAGGCUCACCAAGCCGACGAUCUGUAGCUGGUCUGAGAGGACGACCAGCCACACUGGGACUGAGACACGGCCCAGACUCCUACGGGAGGCAGCAGUGGGGAAUUUUGGACAAUGGGCGCAAGCCUGAUCCAGCCAUGCCGCGUGCGGGAAGAAGGCCUUCGGGUUGUAAAACGCUUUUGUCAGGGAAGAAAAGGUUCUGGCUAAUACCUGGGACUCAUGACGGUACCUGAAGAAUAAGCACCGGCUAACUACGUG